rnacentral:rRNA from 1 species
AGCAGCCGCGGUAAUUCCAGCUCCAAUAGCGUAUAUUAAAGUUGUUGCAGUUAAAAAGCUCGUAGUUGAACUUCGGGAUCAAUUAGUUGGUCAUGCCUUGGUAUGUACUGAUUUUAUUGGUUCUCACCUUCUAAAGAACUAUAAUGUCAUUUAUUUGAUGUUGUAGGGAAUUAGGACUGUUACCUUGAAAAAUUAGAGUGUUUAAAGCAGGCUCACGCUUGAAUACAUUAGCAUGGAAUAAUGAAAUAGGACAUCGCAUUCUAUUUUGUUGGUUUCUAGGAUCGAUGUAAUGAUUAAUAGGGAUAGUUGGGGGCAUUAGUAUUCAAUUGUCAGAGGUGAAAUUCUUGGAUUUAUUGAAGACUAACUACUGCGAAAGCAUUUGCCAAGGAUGUUUUACAUUAAUCAAGAACGAAAGUUAGGGGAUCGAAGACGAUCAGGUACCGUCGUAGUCUUAACCAUAAACUAUGCCGACUAGGGAUCGGAUGAUGUUGUAUUUUUAAUGUACUCU